ensembl:snoRNA
AGAGUGGUUAAUGAUGCAGCUCUUUUUCCCCGUCUUAUCGACCAUGGUGAUUUCUUUGAAAUUAAGCCAAAUUCUCUGAAACCACUCU